rnacentral:lncRNA from 10 species
AUGCCAUCUCUUUUAAUGUUCCUCACACUUUGCAGGUGUCAAUAAUCCAUUUUUAGAGGUUGAGUAAUUUGCCUAAGAACCUACAGCAAAUAAAUCUGUUGUACUCCACAGUCCAACUUCCUUCCACAGAACCAGUAUUUCCAAGACAGGCCCAGAGCCUGGCAUUGUUAGCAAAGCUGUGCUUAUUAGCUGUGUGGGUGAGAGGAGCAAAGGAGUUAAGACCUUCAAAGUGCAGACAGCAGUGCCUGGUAGGGGGCAAGCACUCAAUAACGGUUGCCAGUGUGCAGAUGCUGUCCUUGAUGAGGAGGGCAACCCAGUUUGUCCAGGUCGAAAGGGAGGCUCAGAGCACAGGUUAAGAUGGGGCCAGGGCAUGUGUUAUCCUGACAGUUGCCUGGUAAAAGACCUGAUCCAAGAAGGAGAAAUGAAAAUUAAGGGGAGAGCCUGCUUCAACCAGAGCAACUGGCCCAGAUCUCCAAGCUCGUGGGGCCACGUGAGGAUUCAAUGAAGACCAGGAGGGUUGAGAGAAGGCAGCAAGGAACAGGCUCUAACAUGUAUGGCUACGGGGGACCCAAGAGUAAACAAAAGCCAGGAUCACUGUUCUAAGGAGCACAAAAGUCAACUGGAGAGAAGAGAGGAAACUGGCCAUUGCAGCCUCACAGGCUGUGUGCUUUACUUGGGCACAGGGAAUUGAGCCUUGAGUGAUGGGAGGUCAAGGUGGCUUCUGGGAGGAUCCAAUCUGAGAGCUGAAAUCCAAAAGGUGAGAAGGAAUUUGGCAAAGAAAGGGAAGGCAGGACAUUAAAGGCAGAAGGAAAAGACUGCAUAUAAAAGGUGAGAAGGAGUGACCAGCUCAGGAUGGAUGAGUCAUCUGUGGACCAAAUCUGUGCGGGAGAUAGUUGACAUAUCUAUUGCUGAAAAUAAUCUGGGGAUCACUGAAGUCCAAUCACGGUAAUGUGGGAUAUACUUAGAAGUGCUAAAACCAGAGAAAUUGUUGACUCAAACCAGUACAUUGAACAUGCCUGCUUGGUGGCAAUGGACAGAAGGGAACAUCCUAGAAGUGUGACAGGCUGUCAGAGUCUGUCUGUGCUUAUUAAGCACUGUCCAAGGGACAGACACAUGCAUCAGUUGGGCAUGAGUAUUGUCAUCACUAGAGGGAGAUGCUCCAUGGUGGGGCUGGGAGAGAUCUCUAUUCUAUGUUCCCUAAAUAACCUUCUCAUGCCUGGAGACCUCCAUAUUGGAAAGAGGCUGUCAUUAUAGCAAACAUCAGUAUCUGGUCCCUUCCAAAGGCAUAUUUGCUUUAAAAAAGAGAGUGAUUUUACUUUAUAACCAGUUUCUUAAAAACAGUUUAGCAUAUGGACAGUGCCAAGUACCUGAUUAAUGUGUGUGUUCUGAGAAGAUCAAAAUUUGGGCUCUGUAAAGCCAAGGACUAGGCUCUGGGCCCUGGUGGCUCCAUGGGGCUCUGCCACAUGGAAGGCACUAACUAAGAGGUCAGCAGGCCUCCUCUUUAAAUGCAAUAAGAAUGAUUUGUGUGUCCUGCUACUACGGUUACUUGUGUGUUUUGCAUCUCCUCUGUCUUCUCCUUGCCCCCAUCUCCAUCUAGAAUGUAACAUGGAGCAGUGUGACUCAAAGUGCCAUGCUGUAAAUGGUUUGUCACUGGUCCAAAACAAGAUAAAUCCAGAAACUGAGAGUAAGAGUUAGAACAUUUUAGAGAAAUUUGACAGAGUAAUUAAUUUCUGUUGAAUCUGAUAAAAUAUUGGAGUUUGCUUUUUAUUAUGCUGUAUGUCUUUGUUUUUUCAUUUCAUUUUAUAGUAAUUCAUUUCUACAAAAAUAUUGGUCCAUGGUGAAUUGGUCUUUCACCCCAGAUAGUUUGAGAAGUACCAAUAUAGAGGGUAGGGAUCCCUGUUUUACAUUGAUGGUGUAUGACAUUCAGUGCCUUUCCAAAUGUUAACCUGGCUGCACAGUAGAAUCACCUUGAGAGCUGAAAAAAAUAAAUCUUUAUAUCCCUCUAUAGAGAGAAGCUUCAGCUCCACCCUCACCAAUUAAAUGAGAAGUGAGGUGGGAUUAGGGUGUGUCAAGGGCAUCUGCAUUUACUAAAAACUUCCUUGGUGUUUCUAACUUCCAGCCAGGAAUGAAAUCCUUAAUGUGGGUGGUAUCCAAUCAAUGACCACAGGUUGAAUGAAUGACUAAAACAUGUCAGCCAGCCAACAACAGGUGUUUAUUACACAGCUGACGGUGCUGUACCAGGUGCUGAGUAACACAUUAUAAAGUCAUGAAGCUUAAUCAAGAUUUUCCAAUCUGAUGAUAAAGCUCCUAUUACAAAACCAAUACAAAACAAAGGGCACAGAUUAAUAAACCUACAAUAUUCACCCACAAAUAAAGUAACAUUUAUGCACUAUGGAUGGAUGAAGCCCAACUCUCUCUCUGUCUCUCAAAAGCAAACAGCAUAUUCAAUAACAUGUCACCUAAUGGGAAAGAGAUUUCCUUAGGCUGGUGUCUCCCCGUUGGUCAAAGAAUCCACUAGAUGUCACUCAAGGUCCCUCAAGGUUCCCUUUCACAGACUGCGUGGUCUUUAAUUUUACAUCAGAUCAUUUUCCUCACCAAACUUUGUCCCCACAGUCCAAGGCUCCUAAUGGAAACCAUGCAAAAUGUAAGGCACAGAACAUGCUGGUUGUUUGAUCUCCUUCCAUGGCUUUCCGUAGUACUCUAGGGCCACACCAUUCAUGCAUCUAUUCAAGAACAGUAACUGAGGGCUGAUGUUCUACGACACAUUAGUUUAAGCUGCGGUGGAAUCAUGAUGAGUGAAAAUAGCCUUGGUUCUGUCCUCACGGAGUUUACAGUUUAAUCUAUGAAAGCACUCUUCAUUCUAAUUUGUGUUGUUUAUUUAUUUAUUAGUUCUCCCUUCAGACCAGAAGCUCUCAAACUUUUUUGGCCGCCACAUCCAAGUAAGAAAGAGAUUUUAUAUUGCAAUUUAUAUUCACACAAAUGCUCAAACACAUAACCAAAGUUAAAGUUUCACAGUACAAUGCUUAUCUUCAUGUUGUGUGAUACACUCUGAUAUUUUCUAGUCUAUUCCAGUUCCUUUUUUUUUUCAAAAUGCUAGUCAUGAUCCACCAAAUUGAUUUCACAAUCCACUAAUAAGUCACAAUCCUAAGAAUAAAAAAUACUUGACUAGAGGGCAAUGGUAACCUCUUGUGCCUAGCAAAUAGUAAAUGAGCAAUAUAUUUUUUUAAAUGAAUGAAAAUUAUGAGGACUAAUUUGCAUUAAUGUUUACAUUAAGAAGAAAUAGAUACAGAUUAAGUGGUUUAUAAUAUGUAUAAUCAGUGUCCUAAGAACACAUUUCUAUAUACACAUUACAUUCUAUAUACGCAAUUAUAAUGGAUAAUUUUUUUCAGAUAAUCUAUACCAGCUAUACUAGGUACACUAUAUAUGCUGUCAAUGUAAUUUAUUAUUUCAGUCACAAUCAAGGACUCACAUAUUUUAAAUUCACAUAAUUAAAAAUAUGUUCAUCUUGGAAAAAGAAGUCAUAAGCAGCAAUGAACUCUUUCAGAUAUUAAAACUCAUUAUAAAUUCCAAUAGUAAAAGAGCCUGGGAUUAGAGACCACAGCAACAGAAUAAUGGCCUCCAAAGAUCCCUAAUCCAUAGAACCUGUGAAUGUUAGCUUGCAUGGUAAAAGGGAUUUUGCAGAUGUGGUUAAGUUAAAGAUUUUGAGAUGUGGAUAUUAUCCUGGAUUAUAUGAGUAGACACAAUGCAAUCACAAAGAUCCUUAUAAAAGGGAGGCAAGAGGGAGAAAAAAAGGCAGAAAAGAUGAUGAGAGAGAGACUUGAUGCCAUGCUACUAGGUUUGAAGAUGGUGGAAGGAGCCAUGAGCCAAAGAAUGCAGGUGGCUUCCAGGAGCUGGAAAAGGCAUGGAAACAGAUUCUCCCCUAGAGCCUGCCUCCUCAAGGAACACAGCUUGGCAACCUGUUUUGGACUUUUGAUGUCCAGAACUGUAAGAUAAUAAAUUUGUGCUCUUUUAAGCCACUAAAGUUAUGGUAAUUUUCUUGUUUUUUGGGAGUUUGUUUUUUUUUUUUUUUUUUGAGACGGAGUCUCACUCUGUCACCCAGGCGGAGUCCAGUGGUGUGAUCUCAGCUCACAGCAACCUCUGCCUCCCAGGUUUAAGUGAAUCUCCUGUCUCAGCAUCCCGAGUAGCUGGGACUACAGGUGUGUGUCACCACGUCUGGCUAAUUUUUUGUAUUUUUUUAGUAUAGAUGGAACCCCACCUAUACUAUAACUGGCCACCAUGUUGGCCAGGCUGGUCUCGAACUCCUGACCUCAAGUGAUCCACCCGCCUCGGCCUCCUAAAGUGCUGGGAUUACAGGCAUGAGCCACCACGUGUGGCCAAAUUUAUGGUAAUUUGUUACAGCAGCAACAAGAAAUGAAAAUAGAGAUGGAGUAAAUAAAUAGUUCAAUGGCAUAAAGUAAAAAAAACAGUCUAGAUCCAACAAAAACUUCGAGAAUUUCAUAUCUGAUGAAAGCAAUUUGGUGUGUGUGUGUGUGUGCGUGUAUGUGUGUGGGUGUGUGUUUAUUCCAUAAGGUGGUAUUAGGACAACUGGAUAGUUAUUUAAAAAAAAAAAAAAAGCUACAUCUCUAUCCCCUUACACCAAAAUUAUUUCCCAGAUAGCAGCAGAAGACCCAUUAGCAAUCCUGAGAUCAGGAUCAUGGAUUUUUAAGUAUUUUAAAAACACAACUAAAAGUACUAGAAGAAAAUGUGGGAUUUUUUUAAUGUGAAAAAUACAAAACCCAGAAUGAUAAGGAAGAGGUGGAUUAUAGCAGUAAUAACUCUCACACAGUGAGGCAAUCAGUAGUCAAUUUGGCAGCAUUUAUCAAAGUUAAACAUGGCCAUACACUUCAACCCAGCAAUUGCAUUUCCACGAAUUUGUCUUAAAGAAAUGCUUCAUUAUGUGUACAAAGCUUUAUGAUGAAAAUGUUCUUUAGAGCAUUAUUUGUAACAGCAAAGUACUAGAAACAGCCUGAUGCCCAUUAAUUAGAGAAAGUUAAAUAUAUUAUGGCUCAGCCCUUAGAUGACAUGUAUCUACAUGUUUUGUUAAGGAAUGAUUUCCACACACAUUUGUAAGUGAAAUAUGGUAUGAUCCCUUGUGUGUGGGGAAAAGAGAUGUAGGUUUAGCUUAUAUAUUCAGAGAAAAUUCUGGAAGUGUACACAAGAACUGUCAAUAGUGCCUAUCUUUUGGGAGUGGGACUGACAGUAGGAAGAAGUCUUAGAUUUUUAAAAUUUUACACUUUUUUGUAGAGUUCCUGAUAUCAGGAUUGCUAAUGGGUCUUCUGCUGCUAUUCAGCAAGAAAGGAAAAAAAGGAAAGAAUUGCUGAAAAUGAAGAGGGAGAGCCAUGCUCACAUGGUGACAAAUCUGGGCCAGCUGCCUCAGAGGUAUAUGGUAUAGGAUUUUGAAUUUUUUUAAGUAUAUUUAACACAGCUCUGUGAUUAAAGGAAGCCCAAGUCACAGAAUCCUGAACUUAUUGGAAACAUGUGUGACACCUCUUUAAAGGUUUAAAUUAUUUAAAUUUGCUUGCUUUUGCUUUUAAGUUAUGCAUGAAGAUUCCAGGCAGGUAAAAAGAUGAAAUUCUCCCUUAACUGACUAGCUAAGGCAGACAGGUACCUAACCAAGGUCUCCUGUUGGGGACCAGGUUAGAUAGGACUCACAUUUCACUGAAAGCCUGUAUACCUUUGUAUGUCCCACCUCACCAGCGUAGGCAACAAAAUCAAGUCAGUUUAAGUCAUGUGCUUUUUUGAAGUUAAAAUUCAUACCACUCUGAGCUCUACCUAGCGAGUAGAGUCCAACCUUCUGUUGAGGUUCUUCUCCCUAGGUAUCCCCAGUGAUCCUACGGUUACUCAUUUCUUCCAAAGAAGUCCUCUCCAGUUACUGAUAGUGGGUGGCUGGUGAGUCAGCCACAGUGCCUAGUCAAAGUUUCUUCUUCACGGCUGCUGCCUGGGGUCACUGCCAAGGCCCAUACAGGCAAGAACAAAUGCUUGUUCCCUUCUGGCUGUAGCUACCCAGGGUUAAGAGAGGUCCUACCAUUGACCACACAGUGCAAAACGGCCAGUCCUCGCCUGCCAACAUCCUCCAAGUGUGGAUACAACCUUUGCUCUUACUCUCCCAAAGCACAGUCAAGGGCAGACUGCAGACAAGGAAAAAAAAACAGUCAAUAGCAGUGUCUGCCAAUAUCCAGUAAUGUUUGAGGCCACUUUUGAAUGAAAAAAAAAAUUCUUGCUAACUUCCAACUGUUAAGUCAUUUUAAUUAUGUCUCUUAAUUAUACAUAAACUUUAGGUAAUAAUUUCUUAUUCUUAUAGCUCACGUCUAUAAAACUAAAACAAUUUUAGAAAUUAAAUUCACAAAUUUAAAAAAUUCAAUUAAUAUGAUGUAUGUAAUGUGUGGUGAAUUAUAUUUGUUGUUUUGCUGAAAUUAAAUUGUCCUUUGAUAUGAGAA